rnacentral:rRNA from 1 species
GCCAGACUCCUACGGGAGGCAGCAGUGGGGAAUAUUGCACAAUGGGGGAAACCCUGAUGCAGCGACGCCGCGUGAGUGAAGAAGUAUCUCGGUACGUAAAGCUCUAUCAGCAGGGAAGAAAAUGACGGUACCUGACUAAGAAGCCCCGGCUAACUACGUGCCAGCAGCCGCGGUAAUACGUAGGGGGCAAGCGUUAUCCGGAUUUACUGGGUGUAAAGGGAGCGUAGACGGCUGUGCAAGCCUGAAGUGAAAGGCGGGGGCCCAACCCCGGGACUGCAUUGGAAACUGUUGAACUGGAGUACAGGAGAGGUAAGCGGAAUUCCUAGUGUAGCGGUGAAAUGCGUAGAUAUUAGGAGGAACACCAGUGGCGAAGGCGGCUUACUGGACUGUAACUGACGUUGAGGCUCGAAAGCGUGGGGAGCAAACAGGAUUAGAUACCCCCGUACCC